rnacentral:rRNA from 1 species
AUUGAACGCUGGCGGCAGGCCUAACACAUGCAAGUCGAACGGUAACAGGAAGAAGCUUGCUUCUUUGCUGACGAGUGGCGGACGGGUGAGUAAUGUCUGGGAGACUGCCUGAUGGAGGGGGAUAACUACUGGAAACGGUAGCUAAUACCGCAUAACGUCGCAAGACCAAAGAGGGGGACCUUCGGGCCUCUUGCCAUCGGAUGUGCCCAGAUGGGAUUAGCUAGUAGGUGGGGUAACGGCUCACCUAGGCGACGAUCCCUAGCUGGUCUGAGAGGAUGACCAGCCACACUGGAACUGAGACACGGUCCAGACUCCUACGGGAGGCAGCAGUGGGGAAUAUUGCACAAUGGGCGCAAGCCUGAUGCAGCCAUGCCGCGUGUAUGAAGAAGGCCUUCGGGUUGUAAAGUACUUUCAGCGGGGAGGAAGGGAGUAAAGUUAAUACCUUUACUCAUUGACGUUACCCGCAGAAGAAGCACCGGCUAACUCCGUG